rnacentral:rRNA from 1 species
AGCUCCAAUAGCGUAUAUUAAAGUUGCUGCAGUUAAAAAGCUCGUAGUUGGAUUUGUGGGAUGGCCGUCCGGCGGGGGGCCUUUCAUGGUCCCGUUUGUCCUGGUUUUCGGCCUUCCCUUUCUCGGGUCUAGCGUAUUGGCUGGCAUUAGGUUGUCGGCCGCUUCGCGCCCGUCGUUUACUGUGAAAAAAUUAGAGUGUUCAAAGCAGGCUUAGGCCGUUGGAUACAUUAGCAUGGAAUAAUGAGAUAGGGCCACCGCGGUCUAUUUUGUUGGUUUGCACGUUGUGGUAAUGAUUAACAGGAAUGGUUGGGGGUAUUCGUAUUCAAUUGUCAGAGGUGAAAUUCUUGGAUUUGUGGAAGACGAACUACUGCGAAAGCAUUUACCAAGGAUGUCUUCAUUA